rnacentral:rRNA from 1 species
GGUAAUUCUGGAGCUAAUACAUGCACCAAAGCUUCGACCUUACGGGAGGAGUGCAUUUAUUAGAACAAAACCCAGCGACCACGCAAGUGGUCGUCUUUUGUUGACUCAGAAUAACUAAGCUGAUCGCAUGGUCUUGCACCGGCGACGUGUCUUUCAAGUAUCUGCCUUAUCAACUUUCGAUGGUAGUGUAUCUGACUACCAUGGUUGUGACGGGUAACGGAGGAUAAGGGUUCGACUCCGGAGAAGGGGCCUGAGAAAUGGCCACUACGUCUAAGGAUGGCAGCAGGCGCGCAAAUUACCCACUCUCAGAGCAUUGAGGAGGUAGUGACGAAAAAUAACGAGACCGAUCUCUUUGAGGCCGGUCAUCGGAAUGGGUACAAUCUAAACCCUUUAACGAGUAUCUAUGAGAGGGCAAGUCUGGUGCCAGCAGCCGCGGUAAUUCCAGCUCUCAAAAUGCAUAGAAUUAUUGCUGCGGUUAAAAAGCUCGUAGUUGGAUCUGUGCAGGGGCGUCGGUCCACCUUCGGGUGUGCACUGGCUCACCCCGGCUUUUGUGUCGGUUCGUCCACUUGUGGCCUUCACUGGUCGCUUGUGGUGGCUGACGAUUUUACUUUGAACAAAUCAGAGUGCUUAAUACAAGCGUUUCGCUUGAAUGUUCUUGCAUGGAAUAAUAGAAGAGGAUUUCGGUUCUAUUUUAUUGGUUUUAUAGACUGAGAUAAUGGUUAACAGAGACAAACGGGGGCAUUCGUAUCGUUGCGUGAGAGGUGAAAUUCUUGGACCGCAGCGAGACGAACUACAGCGAAAGCAUUUGCCAAGAAUGUCUUCAUUAAUCAAGAACGAAAGUCAGAGGUUCGAAGGCGAUCAGAUACCGCCCUAGUUCUGACCGUAAACGAUGCCAACUAGCGAUCCGCCGGCGGAUAUUUCGCCCUGGUGGGGAGCUUCCCGGAAACGAAAGUCUUCCGGUUCCGGGGGAAGUAUGGUUGCAAAGCUGAAACUUAAAGGAAUUGACGGAAGGGCACCACCAGGAGUGGAGCCUGCGGCUUAAUUUGACUCAACACGGGGAAACUCACCCGGCCCGGACACCGUAAGGAUUGACAGAUUGAUAGCUUUUUCAUGAUUCGGUGGAUGGUGGUGCAUGGCCGUUCUUAGUUCGUGGAGCGAUUUGUCUGGUUUAUUCCGAUAACGAGCGAGACUCUAGCCUACUAACUAGUUCACACAUUGCUUCUGUGUGUGCAACUUCUUAGAGGGAUUUUCGGUGUUCAGCCGCACGAGAUUGAGCAAUAACAGGUCUGUGAUGCCCUUAGAUGUCCGGGGCUGCACGCGCGCUACACUGGCGAAAUCAGCGUGCUUGUCCUUUCUCGAAAGAGAUUGGUAAACCAUUGAAAAUUUGCCGUGAUUGGGAUCGGAAAUUGCAAUUAUUUUCCGUGAACGAGGAAUUCCAAGUAAGUGCGAGUCAUCAACUCGCGUUGAUUACGUCCCUGCCCUUUGUACACACCGCCCGUCGCUGCCCGGGACUGAGCCAUUUCGAGAAAUUUGGGGAUCGUUGACUCGCGGUUCACGCCCUCGGGUGGGGAUUGCUUUUCGGUGAGAACCAAUUUAAUCGCAGUGGCUUGAACCGGGCAAAAGUCGUAACAAGGUAGC